AUUGAACGCUGGCGGCAGGCCUAACACAUGCAAGUCGAACGAGUGGCGGACGGGUGAGUAAUGUCUGGGAAACUGCCCGAUGGAGGGGGAUAACUACUGGAAACGGUAGCUAAUACCGCAUACUAUCGGAUGAACCCAUAUGGGAUUAGCUAGUAGGUGGGGUAAAGGCUCACCUAGGCGACGAUCUCUAGCUGGUCUGAGAGGAUGAUCAGCCACACUGGGACUGAGACACGGCCCAGACUCCUACGGGAGGCAGCAGUGGGGAAUAUUGCACAAUGGGCGCAAGCCUGAUGCAGCCAUGCCGCGUGUAUGAAGAAGGCCUUCGGGUUGUAAAGUACUUUCAGCGAGGAGGCGUUACUCGCAGAAGAAGCACCGGCUAACUCCGUGCCAGCAGCCGCGGUAAUUC
rnacentral:rRNA from 1 species